rnacentral:SRP_RNA from 1 species
GCCAGGUGCAGUGGUGCAUGCCUGUAGUCUCAGCUACUCAGAAGGCUGAGGCAGGAAGAUCGCUUGAGCCCAGAAAGUUCUGGGCUGUAGUAUGCUAUGCCCAUUGGGUGUCCACACUAAAUUCAGCAUGAAUAUGGUGACCUCCCAGGAGUGAGGGACCACAGGUUGCCUAACGAGGGGUGAACUGGCCAGGUUGGAAACAGCAGGUCAAAAUCCCAUGCUGAUCAGUAGUAGGAUCACAUCUGUGAAAAGUCAAUGUGCUCUAGCCUGGGCAACUCAGUGAGCCCCCUGUCACU